rnacentral:rRNA from 1 species
ACUCCUACGGGAGGCAGCAGUGAGGAAUAUUGGUCAAUGGACGAGAGUCUGAACCAGCCAAGUAGCGUGAAGGAUGAAGGUCCUACGGAUUGUAAACUUCUUUUAUAAGGGAAUAAACCCUCCCACGUGUGGAGCUUGUAUGUACC